rnacentral:lncRNA from 1 species
UAGCAUGCUCUCUAGUGAAACAAAACAAAGACCAUCAAACUUCACAAAGUCCUCACUAUGAGCCGUUAAUCAGAAUAAGGCUUAAACGCUUCUUUACUAAAGAGUCAACUACAAUUUAAGGUCACUAAAGAAUUCCUAUGCCUCUCCUAUUUUUUUCUAUUUUUUUUUCUUUUUUUUUCUUGCUAAGUCUAAGGUUGGGACGCUUCUCAGUGUAAGUGAGUCACGACCGCCAUUC